GAUGAACGCUGGCGACGUGCCUAAUACAUGCAAGUAGAACGCUGAAGCUUGGUGCUUGCACCGAGCGGAUGAGUUGCGAACGGGUGAGUAACGCGUAGGUAACCUGCCUCUUAGCGGGGGAUAACUAUUGGAAACGAUAGCUAAUACCGCAUAAAAGUCGAUAUCGCAUGAUAUUGAUUUGAAAGGUGCAAUUGCAUCACUAAGAGAUGGAUCUGCGUUGGAUUAGGUAGUUGGUGAGGUAACGGCUCACCAAGGCGACGAUACAUAGCCGACCUGAGAGGGUGGUCGGCCACACUUGGACCUGGACCCGGCCCAGACUCCCACGGGAGGCAGCAGUAGGGGAACUUCGGAAAUGGGGGGAACGCUGACCGCGCAACGCCGGGUGAGGGAAGAAGGUUUUCGGAUCGGAAAGCUCUGUUGUAAGAGAAGAACGAGUGGGAGAGUGGAAAGUUCACACUGUGACGGUAACUUACCAGAAAGGGACGGCUAACUACGUG
rnacentral:rRNA from 1 species